rnacentral:misc_RNA from 1 species
GCAUGAUGUGGAUGAUUCUUAAAUUUAUCGUUGCUUUCUUAGUUUAUCAAACCCAUACAUUUAAGGAUUAAUCCCUUGCACCUAUAACCACUACUGAUUCCUCAAGUUAUAUGGGAAGAUGUUGCUUUGGAUUUUAUUACUAGUUUACUAAGAUCCAACAGGGUUGAUUAUGUUUUGGUGGUUAUUGAUUGCCUUUCAAAAUAUGGCUAUUUCCUUCCUUUAUGCCACCCUUUUAUUGCCAAGUCAGUAGCCGAGAUAUUUUUCCUUGAGAAAUUUCACCUCUAUGGAAUUUAAUGGACCAUGGUCAGUGAUUGGAACCCUCUCUUCUUGAGUAGUUUUUUUGUUAGAGCUAUUUCGACUCCAAGGCACUCAUUUGAAAUUUAGUUCUACCUACCACUCUAGACGGCUGAGCAAAUGGAGCUUUGAAUCAUACCAUUUAAACAUAUCUCUAUUGUUUUUCAUCUGAGCAACCUAAAUAACAGUCUAAGUGGUUGUGUUAGGCCAAAUAUUGGUACAACACAUCUUUCAAAGGGGUUACCAAACAUACUCCAUUUGAGAUAGUAUAUAGUUGCCCACCUCUUACUCUCUAUUACUUCCUGCUUAGAGAAACUCGGGUUGAAUCAGUGACGCAACACUUGUUGGACUGUGAUGAGAUGCUCAAACAGUUGCAAUUUAAUCUCCAAUGUGUCCAAUAGCAAAUUAAGAUAUAUGUUGAUAAGAACCAUCAGAAUGCCUAAUUUAUAGUUGGUGAUAAGGUGUUCCUCAAACUUCAUCCCCACCACCAGCAAUCAAUGGCUCACUGUUUUAAUUAGAAAUUGGUAGCAAGGUAUUUUGGUCCCUUUGAAGUUUUGGGUAGAGUGGGUGCUAUUACGUACAAGCUAAACUUGCCCUUUGCUUUUAAAGUUCACCCCGUUUUUAGUGUUUCUCAAUUGAAAUAGGUUAUUAGCAAUCAUAUAGUGCCCACGAACUCCCUCAAGGCUUAGUCAUUAACGAAAUUCCCUUACGUAAACCUAAGGUUAUUUGUCAAUGCUAAAGUAUUAAGAAAAAUGGCAUGAAUGUGCAAUAAUUUCUAGUCAAAUGGAUGGGUCAUUCUGAUGAUGAGACUACUUGGAUUGAUGAAUCUAACUUUGUUGACCAAUUUCCAAAUUUUAGCCAUGGGGACAAGGCUGGUUCUAUUGAGGGUGGAAAUGAUAGGCAUGCAGCAACUGAUCCAAGCCAAAGGACUUUUCAACUAUAUUCCCAAAGGGCCAGCAAAGGCAAUAAUAGAAUGGGAUUUUAAAGAUGCCAAUAGUAUGUGAAUAGUGCUAGCAACUAUAGGGCCU